AAAAAAAAAUAAAAAAUAUCAAAAAAGAAAGUAUGCAAAAGACAACAAAGAUUUAUAACAGACAUUACAUUAUUACACAAUAUUAUCGGGUCGGACUCGUCAUAGCCGUACAUUAAAAUAAUUUUGACUACAUCUAGCGCCAUCCGGCCAUUACGGGAACUAAAAUGACAUAACAAAAAGCACGAGUACAAGGACAAACAAAAAUUGGCAAUGCAAACUUAAAUUAUUAAUUAAUAACAAUAAAAGGCUGAGAAUAUUUCAGAAUGUAGUGUGCCAUGGCAAUACAGACGGAACAUAAACUAUGUGGUUCCUCAUAGGUGGUGGGACAUUAUUCCAACACUUUGAAGCGUUAUACCGGUAGCUGCCCCGGAAGGCUGCCGAAGCAUGGCGUGGCGUCAGCAAAUGACUUCCACAAUUGCGGCGGUCGCGGAGCUUGAUGCAAGAUAACUUA